UUGAUUUUUUUAAAAAAAAGUUUUUAUUAUAUUUUUUUUGAAAAAAAAUAACAUACUAUCUGCUUCAUUCAUUAAAAGUAUAAAUUUAGCUAUUUGAGACCGUCAGAACCUCAGAAGGACGAAAAAGUAUAAGAAAAGAAGAUCUCAAAACAAAAAUGAAAGAAAAACCAACACAAUAAUCAAAACAAUGAGUCUAACCAAAAAACAGAUGCCAUCUAGCUCUACAGAAUUCGGCCUACUUCUUUACCAACACUCCAAUACAAUGAGCUGUUAAUAUAAUAUCGGUGGGUAGAUUUUUGAAAAUAAUAUUAUUAUUUCUUUUUCGCCAGAUCAUCCACCAUGUGACUGCCACCAGUUUAGAGCCUUCAAAGCGUUGGUCCGCGAACAUCUUUCCAACAUCCGCUUCCAAACGAUAUUG
rnacentral:lncRNA from 1 species